rnacentral:lncRNA from 1 species
CUGUGCUUUGAGCUUCUCUGCAUUUAUUAAAUUUUCCCUAUGACUAGGUACAUCCAUACAGGUGUGUGUGUGUGUGUGUAUACAUUCCUUUGAUAAUCAGAAAAAAAUAAACAUCACAAAAAAUCCCCACCGAGCUCAGGCACAAAACCUUAUCUUCCUGGGGUCCACCGCCCUCCCCGGGCCCCCAGCCCCCUGCCCUCUCCGCUGCUGCCCCGCGGGGCUGGGACUGCCUCUUCGGGUCUUCAUUGCUAGCGCCGCUGCUGUCUGCUGGAGAAUCUGAGAAAAUAAGAACUUUGCUGUGGUUGGUUUGUUUUUGUUUUUGUUUUGACCUCUUCAUCCCCAGCGAAGGCAGGCAGGUUUUUUCUUUCCCUCCUCACUCUCGCCCCCUUUUGUUUGGUGCCAAGAGACACUCAGCUAUUUCUAGUCCUAAGGGUGGUUUUACACAUUUGUAAAUCUUCACUAGGUGAACGGUUCUCUCCGUCUUUGUCUUUGUGUCCCUAACAGUGGCCAUAAAUUACCACCUUCUUUUCUCUCCGCUGCAUUAAGCGUCAUUGCUUUUGAAAUGAUCAAAGUUAUUUUCCUUUAAAAUCCAACCCAAAAGUGCCCACUGUGUGGCACAGACCAUUUUGGCUCCAGUCAAAGCAUCUAAAUACACAAGGCUGCCCAGUCACCUCUCUAGGCGUCUUCUCCAGCCCCUUGUGCCGGGCAAGAAACCAGACACGCUAUUCUUUGCCUUCACUGGUCCCCCGAGCUUAUAUUUUAGUAAGGAUACAAAGUAGUUCUAAGACCCAAUGUUUUUUUGCCUAAGAGAGUCAGUUUUUGUUGUGUUUCCUGGAAACGUUUACAGCUGGCACAGAUCUCCAAAAAUGUUCGGAAUCCUAUUUUGUUUGCCCUAACUUCCAUACAGAUGUGCUUUCAGCGGGUCAGCUCCUGGAUUCCUGCGCAAACCUUUCUGACGCUUCCAAUCAGUCAAGAUGGUUAAUAACUGGGAAUUUCCAUGGAGGGCUCCAGGGGAAAUCUGUGCUCCAACGUCAGGGACCCGCUGCAGGAGGGGCUUGGCGGGCCCAGGGCCAGCGGCUGUCCGCCCUCUAUUGUCCCCCUGAGGUCCCCGCAUGGUUCCUGAACCUCCCUCUUCCCGCCCCAGGCUGAGAGGCCAUGAACCAGACCGGAGGGGACAGGCAGCCCAGCCUGGCCGUCGCACUGGUGGGGGCCUGGGGCCCCAGGAAGACGGCGGAAGCGGAAACCACGUGCAGCUCAGGAGGACUCUGCGUUCGCUGCCCACCUCUCAGUGCCCCACUUUUUCGACUCUUCAGCAGCCUCUGGAAACUCCCUUUAGAAAUGCUCUCUCCCUUGGCUCUUGUUUCCCUGCAGCAGGCAAGCUCCUGGUUGUCCUCCUAGCUCUCAGGAAAUGCCUCCUCGGUCCUCUUCUGGGGAUGCUCUUUCUACAUCCUGGCCCUGAUGCUCGCUCAUUCCCGCGUUCCCGUGAGAGAAAUCUCCAGCUCGGAUCUCUCCUCUCAGCUUCAGUUCUCUGUAUCCAGUUGUCUACUGGAUGCCUCCAGCGUGAGCUCCCUCAGAUCCAAGAUGUUCAAGAUGAGAGUUCCCUCUGCGGCACAAAGGGAUCAGCAGCAUCUCUGCAGCACCAGGAUGCGGGUUCCAUCCCCCAUCCAGCACAGAGGGUUAAGAGGAUCUGGUGUUGCUGCAGGAUAGGUCACAACUGCUGCUCAGCUCUGAUCCCCGGCCCCGGACUCCAUAUGCUGUGGGGCGGCCAAAAAAGCAAACAAACAAACAGAUGUUCAAAGGGCAGUUCACCUUCUCCCUCGAACCCGCCCUUCUCGAGCGCUUCCGCGCUUAUAUAGAGAGGCCACCAGCAUUCUGCAGACACAGCUCAGACACCUGCAGUCAUCCCGACUCCACUGGCUCUCUUGGCACCAGAGUCAAACCCUCUCACGAUCUCCCUAAACCGCUCUCCUCCUCCAGGCGGGCAUCCAGAGCCCAGGGCCCAGCGUCCCUCACCUGGCCUGUUGCUCCUCGUGGGCGCGUCCUCAUCCCCCUUUCAGUAUCUUCCUCGGGGGCUGCCGGAGGAAGAGGCAAACCUCCUCCCAGCAAGCCCGGCCCCUUCAGGCUCAAGUGCAAACUCCCCUGCUGCAACCACUCUGCUGAACUGCUGGGCAAAAUCUACUACAGCAAAACGGACAACCUCCUUCUACGCCUACGAGGAGCUACUUCAUAUGUUCACCCAAAGACACAUGUAACACUGUCCAUGACAGCUGUAUUCACACUAGCACAGAACUGCAAAUAACCCAUACCGUCAACUAGACGGUGCAGGGAGUUCCCAUCGUGCCUCAGUGGGAAUGAAUCCAACCAAUAUUCAUGAGGAUACAGGUUCGAUCCCUGGCCUCGCUUAGUGGGUCUGGGAUCCGGCGUUGCCAUGAGCUCUGGUGUGGGUCUCGGACUUGGCUCAGAUCCCGCAUUGCUGUGGCUAUGGUGUAGGUGGCUUCAAUUCGACCCCUAGCCUGGGAACUUCCGUGUGCUGCAGGUGCAGCCCAGAAAAACACCAUUCUCGCUAGUCAAAGGCCUUUGUGAUCUGAUCCCUUCCUGCCUUGGCAGCUUCUCCCCGCUGACCCCUCGCCCACAGGCCACGCUGAUGCUCUCCAGCAACAUCAGGCUACUGAUACGAAGAGUCGGUGGUGUCCCCUCAUCCUCGUUUCCUCUGCUCGUGCCUCUCCCACACCUGAGAGAGGGAGUGAGUCUCAAAAUUGGAAUAAACAAAGGGCAACGUCCUGAUUAAUAAAUAAAUACCACUGUCCGCCCCCCGCACAAGGGAAAAAGCUCUUGACAGCAGUGAGAUGUGGGUGGAGGGGCCAGGGUCUGCAGGUCAGCAGGUCCUGAGGGCUAAUCGGAAAGGGAAGCCCGUCCACUCUCGCGCACACACCCCGCAGGCGCUCCUCCCCAGACGGCCUUCGCAUCUCCUGGAAAACCUUCCUGCCUCUCUGACCUGGAGGCAGUCCCACCUCAGGAUUUCUGGGCUCUGGGCCAUGUACAGUUUAAUGGCACUUAAAAUUUACCAUUUUAUCAUAAAAUUUACCAUUUUAACCAUUUUAAAGUGUACAGUUUAAUGGCAUUGAGCACAUUUACGAGUUUACUGCCCAAGUGUUGGCACUUCCUGUCACAGAGCUCACCCCGGAGCUAAUCCUUGUGCAGAUGCCGCAGGCAGGGAGGGACACCAUGCAUCUCAGGAGUGCCCCCCAGUGUCCUCCUUUCUUCUUGCUGCUGCCCCUGCCCCAGCUGCCAGUCUGGAUUCUGUAUUAGGAUAUGAGCUAUUUGUGUUUGUCUGUUGUUUUUUGCUUCUUGGUCCCCUGCACCAGGGAUCAGGUCUGAGCUGCAGCUGUGACCUAGGCCAGGCCAGGACUGAGCCUGCGUCCUGGGGCUUCAGAGACGCCGCUGGUCCCACUGGCCUGCAGAGCUAACCCCUGAACUUGUGUUCUUACUCUCAUGGUAGCAAAGCCGUAGAUACUGUCCAAAGAAAGGGAGGGAGAAGGACAUCAUAGAAGGAUUUCGUUACAAAGGCAACUUAUGAGAAGAAAAUCCAAGAUUUCUGAACAGCAGAAGAGCCAUGGCCAUAAAACUGGAAGAGAGAAGAAUGCUGGAGGCUGAGAAACAAAGAACGUUGUUAAAGAGCUGCCCCGCCUCAUAAACGCAGCAGGACUGGGUGAUUUCACCGGAAAAAUUCUAACAAACUGUUUUUUGAAAAUUAAAGUGUGGUUGAUUUACUACGUUAUGUUAGUUUCUGGCGUUCGGCGAGGUGACUCGGUUACACACACACACGUUCCCCUUCGGUAACCGUGUGUUUUCCCGUCUGCGAGGCUGUUUCUGUUUUAUAAAAAAGUUCAUCUGUAGCAUCUUGUUAGAUCCACACAUAAGCGAUGUUCCUUGUGAAGACAACUUUUAAAGCAUCACUAAAAAUCAUCCCAAAGAGAACUUGAAGAAGUAGGAAUGUAACAUAUGCUCCUGGAUAAGACACACAGCACCAUAAAAACGCCAGUUCUCCAUAACUUAAUUUAAAACUUUAAUGUGGUCUGGAGUUCCCAUAGUGGCUCAGUGGUUAACAAACCCGACUAGCAUCCAUAAGAACGUGGGUUCGAUCCCUGGCCUCGCUCAGCGGGUUAAGGAUCCGGCGUUGGUGUGAGCUGUGGUGUAGGUCGCAGUCGUGGCUUGGAUCCCGCGUGGCUAUGGCUGUGGUGUAGGCUGGUGGCUACAGCUCCGAUUUGACCCCUAUCCUGGGAACCUCCAUAUGCCUUGGGUACAGCCCUAAAAAAAAAGACGGGGAAAAAAAAAAAAACCCAAAAAACAACAACAAAAAAAACUUUAAUGUGAUCCAAAGUCCCCCCCACAACUAAACUGAUUCUCAAAUUUACACAAAAAAGAAAUGAGCAAGAAUAGUGAUUUAAAAGUAUGAAAAAGGAGUUCCCAUUGUGGCUCAGUGGGUUAAGAACCCGACGGUGUCUGUGAGGAUGUGGGUUCAAUCCCUGGCCUUACUCAGUGGGUUAAGGAUCUGGCGUUGCCACGAGCUGCGGCAUAGAUCACAGAUGCUGCCUCGGAGCCGGUGUUGCCAUGGCUGUGGUGCAGGCCGGCAGCUGCAGCUCCAGUUCGACUCCGAGCCUGGGGACUCCCACAUGCUGCGGGUGCAGCCGUGAAAAGAAAAAAGAAGUGUGACACGAGCAAUGGCAGGCGAAGUUGAACGGUACUACUAGAUAGGAAAAGAUAGUACGAAGCCUUAGUAAUCAGAGUGGGGAAUGCUGGCUUAUACACAGACAGACAGGCUCGUGCAGUAGAAUAUAAUAUCCAGAGAUAGUUAGAAAGUCACGCAAAAUACAAUAUAAUAAAAUUGACGUAUCAAGCCACGGGGAAAAAUACAGACCACAACUAAACGGGAGUGGAGCAGAUGGGUAGCUGCUUAAACAAAAAUGAAGUUGAAUCCACUCCUCAUGCCUCACUGAGUUAACUUCAGAUGAAUAAAAAAUUUAGCUUUUUAAAAAACCUCAACAGUUCUAAAGGAAAACUGGGAAAAUAUCUUUACUCUUGCAGUAAGCAUAAGUCUUUCUGUAGCCCCAAAUCCAGAAGCCAUGAAAGAUUCCUAAGUUUAACCAUACAAAGAAAGAGCGCUGAUGCUUCAGAAACAGUGUAAGUCAAAGAAUAAAUAAAUAAUAAAUUGUGAAGAAUGUUUUCGCAUCAGAUCACAAAGGAGUCACCUCUUUCACAGGAAAACACCUCCAGCUGUCAGUAAGACCCACCUACCCAACAGAAAAUGGGCCAAAGACCCGAGUUAAAAGAAGUAUAAAUGAAUCUUAAGCCCACGAAACCGAAAGGACUGGAGUGGAGGUGGUUUCAUUGCUGUAACCACCAGAGUAAAACCUAAAACUGAGUGAGGUCUGGAUUCCUAUCACUUUUGAAAAUCAUGGGAAUUUCCAAUGUGAGAUUUUUCCAUAGUUUAUUUUCAGCCACAGAGUAUAAGCACGUUUCUCCUGCUGCCUUAGAAUUGUUGACACCGGAUUAUAGUCAGUUAUCACCCUGAACCAGUUUAGGCUAAGCAGGUAACAGGUAACAUCUGAAUUCUUGUGGCCACAUUUUUAACUAUUGCCUAAAGCCGGUGGGAAGAGAAGGAGCAGCCCAAACACACACAUACACACUUUGGUCGUUAUUAAAAUCAUAGAAGAUUGCCACUGUUAGUGAUGCUGUAAUCCUUUUCAAUUAGCUCACAGAGGCCUAUUAAUAAGAUGUGGCUGGUGAUUCCUUGCAAUCAUCCAUUUUGCAGUUUUAUUGCCGGUAACUAGCUAUACCCUUUUAUUUAUUAAUAGCUCAA